UACGGGGGGAGCAAGCGUUGUUCGGAUUUACUGGGCGUAAAGGGCGCGUAGGCGGCCAGCACAAGUCAGUUGUGAAAUCUCCGAGCUUAACUCGGAACGGUCAACUGAUACUGUGCGGCUAGAGUGCAGAAGGGGCAACUGGAAUUCUUGGUGUAGCGGUGAAAUGCGUAGAUAUCAAGAGGAACACCUGCGGCGAAGGCGGGUUGCUGGGCUGACACUGACGCUGAGGAGCGAAAGCGUGGGGAGCGAACAGG
rnacentral:rRNA from 1 species